AAGAAUUUUGUCAAUUAAAUGUUAAAAAAAAAAGAAAAAAGUGUAUACUCGUAUAUACGUACUAUGUUCCACUUCAUGCCAUGUUUUCUUUUCUUAAUAAGGGAGAUGUUACGUAUCUGUGAUUUCAUAAUAUCUGUGGGUUUCCGUUUCCUGUAGCAUGUCUCAGACCGCGUGUCAUGGCUGAAUAUUUCGUAUUUAGCUUUGUCUAAAUGUGCCAGUAAAGUGUUCAAGAAAUUAUGAGGGCUGAAGAUGUGAUAAUUAAACGAAUUUGGCUUUCUGCCAUUCUCUGGUUUUAUGUUUAAAAGCAAAAUAAACCAUUUUGAAUAAUAAACCAUUAAACAUAAAACAAUAAAGGUUAUCAUUUAUUGUGUGGUUUGUAGUAGUAGGAAAGUCAAUAGGAUUCUGUCCAUCAUUAUGUUCAUGCAAAGGUACAAAAGUGGGUGAUGGUGAACCUCAACCUGAAGAGCCCUUAAAGUUAAGAUGUGGAGGAGGAAGUCCAACACAAAUACCUGAACUGAAAGAAAUAGAUCUAAGCAAACUAUUGGCAGUUGUUGUCAGCUUAAACUUAUCAAGCAAUGCAAUAACAACACUCUGCAGAGAACUUAAUUUACCAAAGUUACAAAAACUAGAUUUAAGUAAGAAUCAAGUUAAUUUGAUAGAAUCUGAUGCAUUCUACAACAUGACAUCAAUACAAAGACUUGAUUUAUCGCACAAUCAAAUAAGCAAUAUCUAUAAAGAAAUGUUUAAGAGUCUCAUUAACUUAGAAAGAUUGAAUUUAUCACAUAAUUAUAUCUCUGUGCUUAACACAGGCAGACUAUUGGUUUAUAUUUAUAAUAAUAUUAUCAUGAUAUAUCAUUUUGAAUUGGACUUGUUCAUACUGUGACCAGAAUCAUAUGAACCAUACAGCAUCUGUACCGUGCCAGAGUGGUGAUGGAUUAGCAUAUAGACAUUGCUAUGCAAAUGUGACGUGGGGUCAAGCUAAUACCACAGAAUGUUCAUACAUAAGUAAUAUGUAUGACCAAGUUGUUGCAGCAAUUUGCCUUACAUAUAUCCGUUGGCAGAAAUUUUAUAUUUCGUCGUAAAAUAAUAUCUCAGAAAUGGAAGAAUAUAAGAGAUGCAUGGAUGAAAUGCGACAAAAAGAUACGUGAAUCGAAAUCUGGAUCAGGUGCAAAACCAGUACAUAAAUAUCAAUAUUAUGAUAAUUAA